UACGGAGGGUGCAAGCGUUAAUCGGAAUUACUGGGCGUAAAGCGCGCGUAGGCGGCGAAUUAAGUCGGGUGUGAAAGCCGCGGGCUCAACCUGGGAAUUGCAUCCGAUACUGAUUGGCUCGAGUGCAGAAGAGGAAGGUAGAAUUCCACGUGUAGCGGUGAGAUGCGUAGAUAUGUGGAGGAAUACCGGUGGCGAAGGCGGCCUUCUGGUCUGACACUGACGCUGAGGUGCGAAAGCGUGGGGAGCAAACAGG
rnacentral:misc_RNA from 1 species